CGCUAGCUACAGGCUUAACACAUGCAAGUCGAGGGGCAGCAUGGUCUUAGCUUGCUAAGGCCGAUGGCGACCGGCGCACGGGUGAGUAACACGUAUCCAACCUGCCGUCUACUCUUGGACAGCCUUCUGAAAGGAAGAUUAAUACAAGAUGGCAUCAUGAGUCCGCAUGUUCACAUGAUUAAAGGUAUUCCGGUAGACGAUGGGGAUGCGUUCCAUUAGAUAGUAGGCGGGGUAACGGCCCACCUAGUCUUCGAUGGAUAGGGGUUCUGAGAGGAAGGUCCCCCACAUUGGAACUGAGACACGGUCCAAACUCCUACGGGAGGCAGCAGUGAGGAAUAUUGGUCAAUGGGCGAGAGCCUGAACCAGCCAAGUAGCGUGAAGGAUGACUGCCCUAUGGGUUGUAAACUUCUUUUAUAAAGGAAUAAAGUCGGGUAUGCAUACCCGUUUGCAUGUACUUUAUGAAUAAGGAUCGGCUAACUCCGUGCCAGCAGCCGCGGUAAUACGGAGGAUCCGAGCGUUAUCCGGAUUUAUUGAGUUUAAAGGGAGCGUAGAUGGAUGUUUAAGUCAGUUGUGAAAGUUUGCGGCUCAACCGUAAAAUUGCAGUUGAUACUGGAUAUCUUGAGUGCAGUUGAGGCAGGCGGAAUUCGUGGUGUAGCGGUGAAAUGCUUAGAUAUCACGAAGAACUCCGAUUGCGAAGGCAGCCUGCUAAGCUGCAACUGACAUUGAGGCUCGAAAGUGUGGGUAUCAAACAGGAUUAGAUACCCUGGUAGUCCACACGGUAAACGAUGAAUACUCGCUGUUUGCGAUAUACAGCAAGCGGCCAAGCGAAAGCGUUAAGUAUUCCACCUGGGGAGUACGCCGGCAACGGUGAAACUCAAAGGAAUUGACGGGGGCCCGCACAAGCGGAGGAACAUGUGGUUUAAUUCGAUGAUACGCGAGGAACCUUACCCGGGCUUAAAUUGCAGAUGAAUUACGGUGAAAGCCGUAAGCCGCAAGGCAUCUGUGAAGGUGCUGCAUGGUUGUCGUCAGCUCGUGCCGUGAGGUGUCGGCUUAAGUGCCAUAACGAGCGCAACCCUUGUUGUCAGUUACUAACAGGUUCCGCUGAGGACUCUGACAAGACUGCCAUCGUAAGAUGUGAGGAAGGUGGGGAUGACGUCAAAUCAGCACGGCCCUUACGUCCGGGGCUACACACGUGUUACAAUGGGGGGGUACAGAGGGCCGCUACCACGCGAGUGGAUGCCAAUCCCAAAAACCUCUCUCAGUUCGGACUGGAGUCUGCAACCCGACUCCACGAAGCUGGAUUCGCUAGUAAUCGCGCAUCAGCCACGGCGCGGUGAAUACGUUCCCGGGCCUUGUACACACCGCCCGUCAAGCCAUGGGAGCCGGGGGUACCUGAAGUGCGUAACCGCGAGGAGCGCCCUAGGGUAAAACUGGUGAC
rnacentral:rRNA from 1 species